AGCAGCCGCGGUAAUUCCAGCUCCAAUAGCGUAUAUUAAAGUUGUUGCAGUUAAAAAGCUCGUAGUUGAAUUUCGGGAUCAAUUAAUUGGUCGUGCCUCUGGUACGUACUGAUUUUAUUGGUUUCUCCCUUCUGACGAACCAUGAUGUCAUUAAUUUGGUGUCGUGGAGAAUCAGGACUGUUACUUUGAAAAAUUAGAGUGUUUAAAGCAAGCUAACGCUUGAAUACAUUAGCAUGGAAUAAUGAAAUAGGACGUUUGAUCCUAUUUUGUUGGUUUCUAGGAUCGACGUAAUGAUUAAUAGGGAUAGUUGGGGGCAUUAGUAUUCAAUUGUCAGAGGUGAAAUUCUUGGAUUUAUUGAAGACUAACUACUGCGAAAGCAUUUGCCAAGGAUGUUUUCAUUAAUCAAGAACGAAAGUUAGGGGAUCGAAGACGAUCAGAUACCGUCGUAGUCUUAACCAUAAACUAUGCCGACUAGGGAUCGGAUGAU
rnacentral:misc_RNA from 1 species